GAACAUUCCAAGCAGGGGGAUAUUGUAAACAAGACUAUAAAGACAGGAAUAAUUAUUAUCAUCUUUAGAAGAUAAUGAAUAGACUUCCAUUUCUUCAUUUAUAAACUCGGGUGGUUUGGCUGAACCUCUGAACUUCCUUUGAAUCAAAGAAUCAGCAUUAGACGGAAGAGACAUUAGGAAGGGGAUAGUCCAAAUCACUCAGAGUACAUAUGAAGACACAGAGGUUCAUGAUGAACACAUUGCCUCAACACCAAACCAUCAGUGCCAAGAUAUGCUUUACACAGGAUGAUGAGGCAUAAGAGCGUCUUUGCUGAAUUUUUUCUCAUAAACAUGAAAAUUUCCGGAAAAGGUUAUUGUGAACAGGCCUAUAGAAUGUCUCAGUGUAGAGGGCUGGAAUCAGGAGCUGUCUUUGAGUCUUGGUUUUAAUGCUUAUAAGGCCUAUGUAUUUGGAUAAUUCAAGCCUCAGUUUCCAUAACUGUAAAAUAUAAAUGAUGAUCAUUGCAUUACCUA